rnacentral:lncRNA from 1 species
CAGCGCUGGGACGCUCCUGCCUCUUCUGCGGUCGCAUGUCCAUGUUUUGGGGCAGCUAAGGCACCUGGGGUCUGCUCUCGCAGUCACACAUUUGCUGUGUCACUUCUGCCUCAGUUAGAUGUUUUCUCUAGCAAACAGAUAUCAUUAUGUGGUUUUCCAAUUAUCACUUCCCAAAGGGAGCUGGUUAAUAUGGAUGAAGCUUUUUAACAUUUGGCUUUGAAGACAGGGUUAUAUGUAGUUGUAGCAGAGGGAGCCAAUAUCUCGGUAAUUGGCUAAGGUUUGCAGA